UCUAACAAUGUUCUCGCGUUUUGUGCUAUUUCCCCAGGAAACAGAUAAGGAGCCUUUGAAUUCCAAAGAACUCUUGAAGUAAAGAUCGGAUUUCACAGAGAGAAAAAGGUCUGGUGUCCAGUUGGCCAGUGGCCCAAUUUGAAGGAGGAAGGAGGAGUAUGGCUUCUCCCCAUUUGUUUCCAGCACCUGAGGACAUUAAAUGGGUGCAGUUGGCCACCUGCUUAGAAUCCAGGAAUAGUAAAUGUGUUCAACGUCAAGCACAGACCCUGCAGAUGUAACUACUGGUUCAUACCUUGGGAUGGGGAGACUAUCCAGGUGGGAUCAAUCUAAUCACAUGAACCCUUGAAAGCAGACAACUUUCUCCAGCUGGACACAGAACAGAUGCAGCAGAAGUCAGAAAGCUUCAAAGAAGGGAGGGACUUGAUAUGUUAUUCCUGGUAUGAAGGUGAAUGGACAAGAAAUGGAGGUGGCUUUAAUAAACAGAGAGGGGCUCCUGGCUGACAGCCAAUGGUGAAAUGGGGAUCCCGGCCCUACAGCCACAAAGAACUGAAUUCUACCAAUAAUGCAAACAAGCUAGAAGCAGAUUCUCUCCUGGAGCCCCCAGAUAGGAGUGCAGGCCAGCGACACAGGGGAACCAGGAGAGUCCCCUGGGACUUCUGACCUACUGAACCGUGAGACGAUAAAUUCAUGUUGUUUUAAGUCACUAAGCUUACAGCAGAGAUAGAAAACCAAUACAGAGAGAGAAAUUGACCAAGCUUUACAACUACUACACAGAGCGUGAAGAGAGAGGGAGCCCUCCUAAGAGUGUGUGUGAUAAUACGGAAAAUAACCCUUGAGUGGACACUGAGCAGCAGAGAGCUUUCCAAAGAGUACCCAGGCAGGUUUUCCUGGAGGAAGCAAGGGGACAGCGGGCUCUUAAGUCCCUGGUUGGACGAUCAGACUCUGAUGGAGAGGAGAGGAGUGGAUGAAUGAAUACAGGUGCAAACACGGAAAUAAAGUGCAGAG
rnacentral:lncRNA from 1 species